CAACCAUCAAGCCCUGCUUGUGUUGGGGACCUGCGGCUGCCCGCAGGCCCCGAAAACCAGUGGCGGGCUCGCUGUCACUCCGAGCGCAGUAAUACAUCUCGCUCAGGGCGUGCGGUGGGUACCAGCCGUUAAACACCCCCUUAUACAA
rnacentral:misc_RNA from 1 species